UGGUGCGCAGGCUCUUAGCGCGCACGCCCAGAAAGAGGCUUCUCCAACCCGGCCCGGCCCUUCCUUCCCCUUUCCCGCAGUCGUUGCCUCCUCCUCCCCUUCCUCCUCCUCUGGCCGCUUAGUCUCACACCCGCCGGGCCGUUGUUCCCGAGACGUUGUUGAGUCCCCUGUGUCCUCUUCUGGGUGGAGGAACUGCAAUGUCUGGUGGAGAACAGAAACCAGAGAGGUACUAUGUGGGUGUGGACGUUGGAACAGGCAGUGUCCGUGCAGCUCUGGUGGACCAGAGUGGGGUCCUGUUGGCUUUUGCAGACCAGCCAAUUAAGAAGUGGGAGCCCCAGUUCAACCACCAUGAGCAGUCCUCCGAGGACAUCUGGGCUGCGUGCUGUGUUGUCACAAAGAAAGUUGUACAAGGGAUUGAUUUAAACCAAAUUCGAGGACUUGGGUUUGAUGCCACGUGUUCUCUGGUUGUUUUGGAUAAGCAGUUUCACCCAUUACCAGUCAACCAGGAAGGGGAUUCCCAUCGAAACGUCAUCAUGUGGCUGGACCAUCGAGCAGUCAGUCAAGUUAACAGGAUCAAUGAGACCAAACACAGUGUCCUCCAGUACGUCGGGGGGGUGAUGUCUGUGGAAAUGCAGGCCCCGAAACUUCUGUGGCUGAAAGAGAACUUGAGAGAGACUUGCUGGGAUAAGGCGGGACAUUUCUUUGAUCUCCCAGACUUCUUAUCGUGGAAGGCAACAGGUGUCACAGCACGGUCUCUCUGCUCCCUGGUGUGUAAGUGGACAUAUUCAGCAGAGAAAGGCUGGGACGACAGUUUCUGGAAAAUGAUUGGUUUGGAAGACUUUGUUGCAGAUACUUACAGCAAAAUAGGAAACCAAGUGCUACCUCCUGGAGCUUCUCUUGGAAAUGGGCUCACACCAGAGGCAGCAAGAGACCUUGGCCUUCUCCCUGGGAUUGCGGUUGCAGCUUCACUCAUUGAUGCCCAUGCAGGAGGACUAGGAGUGAUUGGGGCAGAUGUGAGAGGGCACGGCCUCAUCUGUGAGGGGCAGCCAGUGACGUCACGGCUGGCUGUCAUCUGUGGAACGUCUUCUUGUCACAUGGGGAUCAGCAAAGACCCGAUUUUUGUACCAGGCAUCUGGGGGCCUUAUUUCUCAGCCAUGGUACCUGGGUUCUGGCUGAAUGAAGGUGGUCAGAGCGUUACUGGAAAAUUGAUAGACCACAUGGUACAAGGCCAUGCUGCUUUUCCAGAACUACAAGUAAAGGCCACAGCCAGAUGCCAGAGUAUAUAUGCAUAUUUGAACAGUCACCUGGAUCUGAUUAAGAAGGCUCAGCCUGUGGGUUUCCUUACUGUUGAUUUACAUGUUUGGCCAGAUUUCCAUGGCAACCGGUCUCCCUUAGCAGAUCUGACACUAAAGGGCAUGGUCACCGGAUUGAAACUGUCUCAGGACCUCGAUGAUCUUGCCAUUCUCUACCUGGCCACAGUUCAAGCCAUUGCUUUGGGGACUCGCUUCAUUAUAGAAGCCAUGGAGGCAGCAGGGCACUCAAUCAGUACUCUUUUCCUAUGUGGAGGCCUCAGCAAGAAUCCCCUUUUUGUGCAAAUGCAUGCGGACAUUACUGGCAUGCCUGUGGUCCUGUCGCAAGAGGUGGAGUCCGUUCUUGUGGGUGCUGCUAUUCUGGGUGCCUGUGCCUCAGGGGAUUUCGCUUCUGUACAGAGACCCUGGCUUGGUUUGCAAGGUACCUGCCUUUCCCUCCUUAAGAAAGUUGAGCAAUUCCUGCCAGCACCUCAACUAUUCCAGCAAGUCAGAUGUUUUAUCUUCUCAUGGACCACACAUCUGGUGGUUAGAUGGAGGAUUUCACUUCUUAUCUAGAUGGGCCAGUUUUGGUAGACUCAGCCGGAGUCACCUCCUUCAGAUGCUGGGAAGGCUGGGAAGAAUCCAGAGGACCCAGACAGUAGAGAGUGAUCCAAGAACAGGACCUGUUACUUUCCAUCCAUUGUCAAUCAUAGACCCCUUGAAGCAACCCAGUGGUUGGUAGCAGCAAUCUUUGUGCAGAUGAGGACUCUGAAGCUCAGAAAUGUUGUAUAACUUGAUUAAUACAAAGCCCACGCUCUUUGUAUUCCAUCAGACCAUAUCCUAUAGAUACAUAUACAUUGCUAGGGAAGUACACUAUGGCAACUGAGACACCUCUCACAAGGUGGUAUGGUUUAUAAAAAAUAGCAUUACGUAUUUGUCAUCAUUGCUUGGUUGAGUAUCCAACACAGAAAUAAAAAUAAGCAGGGUUCCCUCUUUGGUAUGGAAAUAUUCUAAUUCAUUUCCCCAGAGAAUGACCAUACUCACCAGUAUUAUUUUGCUCUACUUAUUUGCUUUUAAUCAUAAUAUAUGCCUGUUUACUUUUUGUAGCUAUAAAAAGGUAGAUAAAAGAAGCACUUUAGGUAGAUAUAAAAAGCACUUUAAUUAAGAACAUGAAUUAAAAGAUACUUCAAUAAUGAAGUACAAUAGAUUAAGGAAUACUUUAAUAGAUUAAAAUAACUUGAAUUAAAAGAUACGUAAAUGCUGUUGUUAUUAACACAAAGGUUUAGGCUAACAAAACGCAUUUUCCCAAAUAUCUCUCUCAACUCCCCCCACAAUUUUUAUUCAGGAAUGUAAGAAUUGGGCUUUUAUAAAAGCAACCAAGGGCUAAACAUCUACUAAGUUCUUAGAAACUUUGAAGGAUUACGGAACUCUCUUUCUAUAAUAAGGUUUACCUGUUUGACUUGAUUUUGUUCAAGAUGGCAUUUCAUACUGGUGUUAACCUAAACACAAAUGUGUAAGAUUUAUCUCAUAGAAAGACGUGCCUGUAAGUAAUUAAUUCCUCACUCUAAUUACUAUUUAUGCCUUUACUUUUUAUUGUAAGCAUUCUUGUUGGAAUAAACUAGAAAUAGGUUUUUUUUCUUUACACUAAAAUAACUCAUGAAUAGCAAUGAAAUCCAUGCUGUAUAAUAUUCAAAUGAGAGAUCAGGAAAGACAAGGCUUUUAGUUAAAUCAGUAAUAUUCUGUGAUGGGGAAAAUUGCCUUGAAAAAUACACACACACACACACACACACACACACACACAUACAUACUACUAGAAAAAGUUUGAGGUUUGAUUCAGAGUGUGGAAGGUACAGUGUCUUAAAAGAGUUUCAGUUGCAGCAUUUAGGCAGAUGAUCAAGAAUAUGCAGAAGAAAACAAAAGAAAUCAUAAUUAUAGUUUCCUAACAGAGGUAUUUGAUCCUCUGCAGUGAACCAUAAAAAACUAGCAUGGGAUCAGAAUCUUGAAUAGCAUGUAUUUAAUUGUAUGCAUUUCAAAGAAAUUUGAACAUUUUAAAAAGUUAUACCAUAUUAAAAAUUGUAUAUAAAGACAUUUUCUAUAAUAUAAUAAUUUUACAAAUGAGGAAACAGGGUUAGAGAGAGUAAGUGAGUUACCAAAGCCAAUGGCUAGAAAGUGAGAGAGGCAGAAUCCAAGUACUAGCCUGGGAUUCCCAAACCAAGGACUGUUCAGCUCAGCCACAAGUGGAAAUGGAUUCUUAUGGGGCUAAGUGAUUACCAUUAUUUUAAAAACUAGUAUCAGAAAUAGAUGACAAGAAUUUAAAUGUAUAUCAAAAUAUCCCUUUGGUAAAUGUUAGUGUCCUCACAGGUAAACAGAGGGCACCUUCAAAUUAGAGUAAUUUGAGAGGGUUUAAAAGAGGGACUGUUUACAAAAUUGCAGUCAUAGAGACAUAGAGAAAUCACAGGGAGAAUGUGACCCUAGGGUCUGUAACAGCUGGGCCUGUAGAGGUGAGGGAAAAGUGCAGCUACUGGAUGCCCAGAACAGAGGGCUGUGUGGAGACUGCACAGUGACCCUGAAAGAAAAGGGCUGCACUGUUAACCCUAUUCUCCCUCGCUCUAAUCUCCUGCCUGCCUCACCAUUGGCUGGAAUCAGAAUCAGAGAGCAAGGGAACCUGUUGAUGUAUUCUGUAGAAGGCCACAUCUCUAAGCUCAGAGGAGGGUGGGAAGGGAUCUUCAGAAGCACUUGGAGACAUUCAACUGAGUCACCCAGCCUGGACUAUUCAGAGCGGUCUGCAGACUAGAGGGCAGUCUCUAAAAGGUUUGUUCAGAUUUGCUAUGAAACAAGGAACUUGCAUCAGAAUGUAAAUCAAUUAUGUCACCAAGUGUACUGUUUAGUUCAGCUGUCAUUUUAUUCAUAGCAAGAUGUUCUCAAUGAAGGAAUCGGUGUGCUGGCUUACAUCCUGGGGCAAACUCCUUUUACCACAGAUGGGCCCUUUGAAUAGCACUAAACUAGAUUCCUUGCUCUGUAGGUAAUGAUAAAAACGCUGGAAUCCCUUUCCUUGUUUUGAUUUUCCUACCUUAACUUCUGCUAAAGAGAAGAAAACGAGUAUUUGUCUGUACCUAUCCUGAGCCUGGUACUGUGCUAAGGUACUUUAGAUGACAUUUAAUUCUUGCAAGUUAGAUUAUUCACUUCAUCUUUACAGACAAGAAACAGGGCCAGAAAGUUUAAGUAAUGUGCCUGUGGACUAGCAAGUGAGACAGCCAGCACUCAAAUUCAGAUCUUACUCCAAAGUCCAUGCCCCUCACUGUUUGUAGGCUAUCCCAGGACUGUGCUUAAAAUUAUCUGACAUUAACACCAAGAAAUAAAGCAGCGUUGUUGGGGGAUUGCCUUAUAUGGAGACCUAUGACUAUGUUCUGUAUACAUAUGCUAUUCAUGAUUCCUGGGAAUAGAUACAACCCAGCUCCCCCCAAAUCAGAUAGCACUGUUUGUGAAUACGAUGUUACUCCAUGUUACAAGGCCUUGUCCAGCCCAGCCAGCCAGGUCAGAGAUGAAUUCAGUUUGUUUCUAAGUGGCUGUUGUCUGUUGCCAUCUCUUUUUAAACCUGGGAGGUCAGGAAGAAGAUAGGGAGAAAGAAUUCAUGAGAGGGAUGCAUUUCCUUAGAAAUGUUAUUAAUUGGCUGGGCAAAACAAGAGAAGGAAAUAAAAUAGCUGCUCCUUACUAAGUAAAGGCAUCUUCUUCCCUUAUCUCAUUAAAAAUUAAAAGCACUCUUGGUUUAAGUAGGGCAAAUUAGUAAUUAAGUGCUGUAUAAUGAACUUGUAUAAACAGAAUAUUGAAGGGGAAGCCAAAUUAAUCACUCUGCUGGCUUGUUUUUGCCCCCAUUAAUGCACCUUUUACUCAGGUCCUUCCUGUGAUACCAGGAUGCAUUUUCUGCUCUCCUCCGCUGCUGGAGAUUGGGUGGGCUGUGAUAGUUGGGCUGACAGAUGACAGUGGACUAGAUCUGGAAAAGUCGUGUGUAGGGGCCUCGAUGGCCGUUUCAUUUUUUAAGCCAAGGCUCAUCAGCACAAGCCUACCUGUGACAGGAACAGCCUUAGACAGUAGCAGGGCAAGGAAGAAUUAGACACAAUGUCGGUACCCAAGGAAUUCCCAGUCUACUGGUGGCGGGAGGUUGGGCACAGAUGGAUACAGUUAUGAAAAAGUCUAAGGUGUAAUGGCAAAGACUAUUUCCUUGGACUCAAAUCUUGGCUCAGCCACUUACCUUGGGUGAGUUACUUAGUUUCUCUGUGUCUCAGAGGCCUCACCUAUGAAAGAUUCCAUUGCAAUUACUCUGCAAUGGAAUGAUGGAGCAUUUGAGGAGUGACUUCCACUGUCUUAAGAGGGCUGGGAAAGUCUUCCAGAGGAGGCAACCUUUGGCUGGUGACGGAGCUAGAACUCAGGGCACCGUGGGACCCCCAGGCCUAUGCUCCUCAUCUUUGCAGCGUAGUGCCUCCUCUGAAAGCGGAAGAAGGAGCUUGGGCCUCAACCCAGGACAAAUCUCUCUCCAUUUCAGCUCAACAUAGUAAAUAUUAGUAAUAACAUCUGGAUCCUCAGUCUCGUGAUAUGUUAGCAACUACCUGCCAAGUAUGUGGGGUGAGGAGUAGAAAGAGUAAGUGAGCUGAGUCCAUCACAGGCUGGGUAAGAGGAAAUCAAAUGGAGCAGCAGAAAGUAGCCCUCUAAGUCACCUUGCUGAACCUCACGGUGAUGGCAUCUCCUCAGCUUGCUAGCUGUGUGAACACACCUGGCUGGGCAAGCUACUUAAUUUCUCUGAUCUCAGUUCCAUAUUAACUGACCCCAUUGAGUUUCUGCAAAGAUUCCGUGAGUGAAAGCACAUUUAGCACAAUGCCUAUUCAGCAGAAGAGUAUUAUUAUCAGUCCGUGUGUUCAUUUGAUCUUCACCACAACCCUAUGAGGUAGGUGGCAUCAUUGUGCCACUCUAUUAAGCAAGAAAUUGAGGCACCAAGCUAUUGAAAAGCUCGCCUAAGGUCAUCUAGAUGGUUAGUGGCAGAACGAUGGUUUAAACUCAAGUGGUCUGGCUCCAGCCCUGCCCUCUGCGUAUCCCCCACAGCCCUGUGCUUUGGAGGGCACUUAUAGCUAGGUUUGCAUGUCACAUGCUAGAAAUAGGGUAGAUGCUUCUCAAGGAUGUCCGGACCUCUCUCUCACUACUGAAGAAGAAGUUAUU